GAUGAACGCUGGCGGCGUGCUUAACACAUGCAAGUCGAACGGAAAGGCCCAAGCUUGCUUGGGUACUCGAGUGGCGAACGGGUGAGUAACACGUGGGUGAUCUGCCCUGCACUUCGGGAUAAGCCUGGGAAACUGGGUCUAAUACCGGAUAGGACCACUUCUUGGAUGGUGUGGUGGAGAGUUUUUUCGGUGUGGGAUGAGCUCGCGGCCUAUCAGCUUGUGGGUGGGGGAAUGGCCUACCAAGGCGUCGGCGGGUAGCCGGCCUGAGAGGGUGUACGGCCACAUUGGGACUGAGAUACGGCCCAGACUCCUACGGGAGGCAGCAGUGGGGAAUAUUGCACAAUGGGCGCAAGCCUGAUGCAGCGACGCCGCGUGGGGGAUGACGGCCUUCGGGUUGUAAACUCCUUUCGCUAGGGACGAAGCGUUUUGUGACGGUACCUGGAGAAGAAGCACCGGCUAACUACGUG
rnacentral:rRNA from 1 species